rnacentral:rRNA from 1 species
CGCUGGCGGCGCGCUUAACACAUGCAAGUCGAGCGAGAACCCAGGCUUCGGCCUGGGGGAAAGCGGCGAACGGGUGAGUAUCACGUGGGUAAUCUGCCCUCGACAUCGGGAUAGCCCGGGGAAACCCGGAUUAAUACCGAAUGGCCCAUCCGCUCUUUGGAGCGGCUGGAAAAGGUAGCUUCGGCCUCCAGUCGAGGAGAAGCCCGCGGCGGAUUAGCUUGUUGGUGAGGUAAUGGCUCACCAAGGCGACGAUCCGUAGCUGGUCUGAGAGGACGAUCAGCCACACUGGGACUGAGACACGGCCCAGACUCCUACGGGAGGCAGCAGUGGGGAAUCUUGCGCAAUGGGCGAAAGCCUGACGCAGCGACGCCGCGUGCGGGAAGAAGGCCUUCGGGUUGUAAACCGCUUUCAGGAGGGACGAAGCCACUCAGGUUAAUAGCCGAGAGGGUGACGGUACCUCCAGAAGAAGCCCCGGCUAACUACGUGCCAGCAGCCGCGGUAAUACGUAGGGGGCUAGCGUUGUCCGGAUUUAUUGGGCGUAAAGAGCGUGUAGGCGGCCAGAUAGGUCUGCUGUGAAAACUCGAGGCUCAACCUCGAGAUGUCGGCGGAAACCAUUUGGCUAGAGUCCG